CCCUUAGACGCUCUAGGCGGCACGCGCGCUACAGUGGGUGGUAGAACGUGUAACUGCUCCCGAAAGGGAGGGUGAACCACGAAUACUUACCCGUGAAUGGGAUAGUUUGUUGCAAUUUUCGGACUUGAACUAGGAAUCCCUUGUAAGAAUGCUCAAGAAUAGCGUGCUGAAUACGUCCCUGCCGUUUGUACACACCGCCCGUCGUUUCUUCCGACUGAUACUCAUUGUGAGUUGCAAGGAUUCUUAUUGAAAAAUUGCUGCGAAUGCUUUGUAUUGGAGGAAGAAAAAGUCGUAACA
rnacentral:rRNA from 1 species